rnacentral:rRNA from 1 species
GAUGAACGCUGGCGGCGUGCCUAACACAUGCAAGUCGAGCGGAAAGGCCACUUCGGUGGUACUCGAGCGGCGAACGGGUGAGUAACACGUGAGUAAUCUGCCCCGGGCUUUGGGAUAGCCACCGGAAACGGUGAUUAAUACCGGAUAUGACCACUUCACGCAUGUGUUGUGGUGGAAAGUUUUUCGGCCAGGGAUGUGCUCGCGGCCUAUCAGCUUGAUGGUGAGGUAAUGGCUCACCAUGGCUUCGACGGGUAGCCGGCCUGAGAGGGUGACCGGUCACACUGGGACUGAGACACGGCCCAGACUCCUACGGGAGGCAGCAGUGGGGAAUAUUGGACAAUGGGCGGAAGCCUGAUCCAGCAACGCCGCGUGAGGGAUGACGGCCUUCGGGUUGUAAACCUCUUUCAGUACCGACGAAGCGUAAGUGACGGUAGGUACAGAAGAAGCACCGGCCAACUACGUGCCAGCCGCCGCUGUAACAC